UUUUAUUGUUGGACUGUACUCUUGCCAAACAUGGCGCCAGGGUAAUUAUGGUUGAUCAGCAGAAUACUACUAGCAAUUACAGUGUUGUGUAGAAAUCAUGAUGAUGUAGUGUUCUAAUAUAAAUGCACCGAAUAAGCAUUUGAUCUUUAUUCUGUAUGUCUGAAAGGAAUGACCCAAUUUAAAUAAAUUCGCUCACUGUAAUUGAAUGAUGAUCUUCCAGGGUCACCAAAAUUACCCGGCAAUACAAUGGAGUUAAGGUCACUACUGAAGACGGUACGAACUACUUCGCCGACGCUUGCAUAAUCACAGUGCCACUCGGUGUGCUCAAGGCGAACAUAAUCAAGUUCGAGCCUGAACUGCCCCCAUGGAAGAGCUCUGCCAUCGCGGACCUCGGUGUUGGCAUUGAGAACAAGAUCGCCAUGCACUUCGACAGAGUCUUCUGGCCCAACGUCGAGGUGCUGGGAAUAACUGG
rnacentral:lncRNA from 1 species